AUUGAACGCUGGCGGCAGGCCUAACACAUGCAAGUCGAGCGGAUGAAGGGAGCUUGCUCCUGGAUUCAGCGGCGGACGGGUGAGUAAUGCCUAGGAAUCUGCCUGGUAGUGGGGGAUAACGUCCGGAAACGGGCGCUAAUACCGCAUACGUCCUGAGGGUGAAAGUGGGGGAUCUUCGGACCUCACGCUAUUAGAUGAGCCUAGGUCGGAUUAGCUAGUUGGUGGGGUAACGGCCUACCAAGGCGACGAUCCGUAACUGGUCUGAGAGGAUGAUCAGUCACACUGGAACUGAGACACGGUCCAGACUCCUACGGGAGGCAGCAGUGGGGAAUAUUGGACAAUGGGCGAAAGCCUGAUCCAGCCAUGCCGCGUGUGUGAAGAAGGUCUUCGGAUUGUAAAGCACUUUAAGUUGGGAGGAAGGGCAGUAAGUUAAUACCUUGCUGUUUUGACGUUACCAACAGAAUAAGCACCGGCUAACUUCGUG
rnacentral:rRNA from 1 species